rnacentral:rRNA from 1 species
AGCGAACGCUGGCGGCAGGCUUAACACAUGCAAGUCGAGCGGGCACUUUCGGGUGUCAGCGGCGGACGGGUGAGUAACGCGUGGGAACGUGCCCUCUGGUUCGGAAUAACUCAGGGAAACUUGAGCUAAUACCGGAUACGCCCUUUUGGGGAAAGGCUUGCUGCCGGAGGAUCGGCCCGCGUCUGAUUAGCUAGUUGGUGAGGUAACGGCUCACCAAGGCGACGAUCAGUAGCUGGUCUGAGAGGAUGAUCAGCCACGCUGGGACUGGGACACGGCCCAGACUCCUACGGGAGGCAGCAGUGGGGAAUAUUGGACAAUGGGCGCCAGCCUGAUCCAGCCAUGCCGCGUGAGUGAUGAAGGCCUUAGGGUUGUAAAGCUCUUUUAUCCGGGACGAUAAUGACGGUACCGGAGGAAUAAGCCCCGGCUAACUUCGUG